rnacentral:misc_RNA from 1 species
GUUACGGGAUUUCUAAUCAAGGGUGUUGCCCUUCUCUCUGUUUUGCUUAUGAUUCUUCCAUUUUCUAAACAAACCAACAGCCCUUGAAAAAAAGAAAGAGACAGAUAGAGUACACUACAGUUUCUGGGUCCCCCCCCCUCCAAAACAAGUCAUUUAGGUUCUGGACUGUGAUUUUCUUGAGCUGAGAUCUAUUGGAAACAACUUCUCUACCCCACAAAGGUA